AGAGUUUGAUCAUGGCUCAGGAUGAACGCUGGCGGCGUGCCUAACACAUGCAAGUCGAACGGAAUUUACAUGAAGCCUAGCGAUUGUAAAUUUAGUGGCGGACGGGUGAGUAACGCGUGGGUAACCUGCCUUGUACUGGGGGACAACAGUUGGAAACGACUGCUAAUACCGCAUAAGCGCACGGCUUCGCAUGAAGCAGUGUGAAAAACUCCGGUGGUACAAGAUGGACCCGCGUCUGAUUAGCUGGUUGGUGAGGUAACGGCCCACCAAGGCGACGAUCAGUAGCCGGCCUGAGAGGGUGAACGGCCACAUUGGGACUGAGACACGGCCCAAACUCCUACGGAGGCA
rnacentral:rRNA from 1 species